GCUGGUUUUUCCUGUGCUAUUCUCAUGAUAGUGAAUAAGUCUCACGAGAUCUGAUGGUUUUAUAAAGGGCACUUCCCCUGCACACACUCUCUUGCCUGCCACCAUGUAAGAUGUUCCUUUUCUCUUCCUUCACCUUCCACCAUGAUCAUGAGAUCUCCCUAGCCAUGUGGAACGGACAUUUCCCUGAGGAGGUGGCUAUGAUGGUAGAACUUACAAGACUUCAGUGGACAUAAGAUAGAGCUGCUCGAGUCAGAGUCAAACCUUUUUGGAGGAGGGGAAAUCUUGGAUUGAGAGCGUGACUGAUACAGGCACCCAUCCUUGUCUCUGCUCCAGAUUACAGGAAUCUCUGAAGAGGCGAGUGCUGGGUGCCUCUAGUCAACCAUGUUGAUGACGUCCUUUCUAGAAAACACCCUGAUACCUUGUGCCUGUGCUUCCAAGGUGGCUGACGCUGUGCCUGUGCUUCCGAGGUGGCUGACUUCUAACUGAGUGCAGUGGAGACCCCGUGGUGCUUUACAGAACAGAUGGCAGUGCUGCCCAAGCUCAGAACACAGCUGGACGGAUCCCCAUUUUUAAAAUGUUGCUUUUAAAGUUCCUUGGUCUAUUUUAAGUCUUAGACAAUAGAGCACUAAUUUGUGUCCACAGCUAGGGAAAAAGCACCCCAAAUACUCAUGUUAUGUCACUUUCAGUACCACAAUUCAAAUAGUGAAAGACGAUGCUUCCAUGUACCACGUAUAGGUCUCUACUAGUGAUUUUUCUCUCAUUUCAACCUAGCUUCACAUAUUUUUAUGGUAUAGCUAACUCAACAUUGAUUCUAUACAAAAUAUAUUAUCUAAGAUAGUCUUUAAAAAUAUUUGAAUUCCACUGGGAUUUGUUUAAACCCCUACACAAAUAAUUACCUCUUACUAAAAACACUGAGUUUGGCAAGUGAAAUUUUGUAAUAAGGUGAAGAUUCAAUAAAAUCUUGUCUCAAACUAAUG
rnacentral:lncRNA from 1 species